rnacentral:rRNA from 1 species
GAGACCACUCUCCAACCCUAAAUACUACUACUACACCGAUAGCGCACAAGUACCGUGAGGGAAAGGUGAAAAGAACCGUGGGUAACGGAGUGAAAUAGAACCUGAAACCAUCUACUUACAAUCAUUCAGAGCACCAUAGUGAGUCCCCCUGAGGAAUUGCGGGGGGGGGUGUAUAUAUCACAACUUAUACGCCCUCUCCUCCUCCAUGAUUGCCUCUUAUCUUUUUUGGUAAGGAGUUUUCAUGGCGACAACAUACAUUAAAUGCCGACAUUGCGGGCAUAAAGAAAAAUUGAAUGCACGCUUUGUUUUAAAGGUCAUUGGAGCAUCAGCUACAGGUCUAGGUGCUGGCGGAUGGGUAACAUAUUUAUUCGCUGGCACGGGUUUGGCUCUUGAAAUUUGUGCUGCCCUAGUUAUCGGUGGGGCUGCAAUUCUUGCAUUUUCGGAGCAAAUAGGUGAGUGGUUUAGCAAGAAGUACGAUUGUCCCGGGUGUCAAAAGAGGGAUUGGGUCGUAACUGAUGAAUGACUUUAGACGAGAAUAGCACAAUGUAUGCUGUCUGUGGGGUUCUUAAGUAUCCCCAAAUUAAGGAUAGAUAAAACAAUUCUUCAGUGGGAUUCACUGGUGUGAUGGACUGCCUUUUGCAUAAUGAUCCUGCGAGUUGUGGUGUCUGGCAAGGUUAAGUGAAAACGAGCCGUAGCGAAAGCGAGUCUGAAUAGGGCGCAUUAGUCAGACGCUGCAGACCCGAAGCCAAGUGAUCUAUCCAUGGCCAAGUUGAAACGAGUGUAACAGCUUGUGGAGGACUGAACCCGUGCCCAUUGAAACGGGCUGGGAUGAGCUGUGGAUAGGGGUGAAAGGCCAAACAAACUUGGUGAUAGCUGGUUCUCUUCGAAAUAUAUUUAGGUAUAGCCUCAAGUCAUAACAAGAGGGGGUAGAGCUCUGAUUGGGCUAGGGCUGCUCGCCGCAGUACCAAACCCUGUCAAACUGCGAAUACCUUUUGUUGUAUCUUGGGAGUCAGGCGGUGGGUGAUAAAAUCAAUCGUCAAGAGGGAAACAACCCAGACUACCAACUAAGGUCCCCAAGUUCUAUUCUGAGUGGAAAAAGAUGUGUGGUUACUCAAACAACCAGGAGGUUGGCUUAGAAGCAGCCAUCCUUUAAAGAAAGCGUAACAGCUCACUGGUCUAGUGAUCAUGCGCUGAAAAUAUAACGGGGCUAAGAUAGACACCGAAGUUGUAGAUUGCCCUUUAGGGCAGUGGUAGAAGAGCGUUCUGUGCAGCGUUGAAGGCAUACCGGUAAGGAGUGUUGGAGCGCACAGAAGUGAGCAUGCAGGAAUGAGUAGCGAUAAGAUACGUAAGAAUCGUAUCCGCCGUAAAUCUAAGGUUUCCUACGCGAUGUUCGUCAUCGUAGGGUUAGUCGGGUCCUAAGCCAAGUCCGAAAGGGGUAGGCGAUGGGAAAUAGGUUAAUAUUCCUAUACCAAUUAGGGUGUGCGAUGGGAGGACGCAUAAAGUUAGGUGAGCUAGCUGAUGGAAGUGCUAGUCGAAGGGUGUAGAUUGGGAGAGAGGCAAAUCCGCUCCUGUAUUUGAAACCUGACAGGCUCUCCAAGACUUUCGGGUCGAGGGGAGAAUCACUGAUACUAUCGUGCCAAGAAAAGUCUCUAAGUUUAGCCCUAAUUGUCCGUACCGCAAACCGACACAGGUAGAUGAGAUGAGUAUUCUAAGGCGCGUGGAAGAACUCUCUUUAAGGAACUCUGCAAACUAGCACCGUAAGUUCGCGAUAAGGUGUGCCUACGUAAGUAGGUCUCAGCAAAGAGUCCCUCCCGACUGUUUACCAAAAACACAGCACUUUGCCAACUCGUAAGAGGAAGUAUAAGGUGUGACGCCUGCCCGGUGCUCGAAGGUUAAGAGGAUGGGUUAGCCGCAAGGCGAAGCUUUGAAUUGAAGCCCGAGUAAACGGCGGCCGUAACUAUAACGGUCCUAAGGUAGCGAAAUUCCUUGUCGGUUAAAUACCGACCUGCAUGAAUGGCGUAACGAGAUGGGAGCUGUCUCAAAGAGAGAUCCAGUGAAAUUGUAGUGGAGGUGAAAAUUCCUCCUACCCGCAGCAAGACGGAAAGACCCCGUGGACCUUUACUACAGCUUAGCACUGCUAAUGGGAAUGCCAUGCGCAGGAUAGGUGGGAGGCUUUGAAGCAGACACUUUGGUGUCUGUGGAGCCAUCCUUGAGAUACCACCCUUGGCGUUUUUGUUAGCUAACUGGCUAGAGUUAUCCUCUAGCAGGACAAUGCUUGGUGGGUAGUUUGACUGGGGCGGUCGCCUCCUAAAAAGUAACGGAGGCUUACAAAGGUUAGCUCAUGGCGGUUGGAAAUCGCCAGUUGAGUGUAAUGGCACAAGCUAGCUUAACUGCAAGAGAGACAACUCAAGCAGAGACGAAAGUCGGUCAUAGUGAUCCGGUGGUUCUCGUGUGGAAGAGCCAUCGCUCAAAGGAUAAAAGGUACCCCGGGGAUAACAGGCUGAUCUCCCCCAAGAGCUCACAUCGACGGGGAGGUUUGGCACCUCGAUGUCGGCUCAUCGCAUCCUGGGGCUGGAGCAGGUCCCAAGGGUAUGGCUGUUCGCCAUUUAAAGCGGUACGCGAGCUGGGUUCAGAACGUCGUGAGACAGUUCGGUCCCUAUCUGCUGUGGGCGUAGGAAAGCUGAGGAGAGCUGUCCCUAGUACGAGAGGACCGGGAUGGACAUGCCACUGGUGCACCAGUUGUUCUGCCAAGAGCACCGCUGGGUAGCUACGCAUGGUUGUGAUAAGAGCUGAAAGCAUCUAAGCUCGAAGCCAACUCCAAGAUGAGCUUUCCCUGAAGCUCGCAUGAAGACUACAUGUUUGAUAGGGUGGGUGUGUAAGUGCAGUAAUGCAUUCAGCUAACCACUACUAAUAGAGCGUUUGGCUUGUUUGG